ensembl:lncRNA
CCAAACAAUGGUUCAAUGGUCGUUUCCCAGAGUGUGCUUCAUUCGGGAGCAGCCUGUUCAAGAUUCUGGAAAGAUUCGGGCAGCUCUGGGAGCCUGAUGAGCCAGAUAAGGAAACUGAGGCACAGGAAGGUUGAUUCACUUGUCUGAGAUCACACAGCUAGUAAGGGAGCGGGAUUUGAACCCAGGCCAUCUGCUCCACAGAGCCUGCUCUGUCAGUUGUUGCGAUCAUUCGGUACCAGGAGCGUGUCAGGCACGGUGGACCCAGUGGUUCCCGAGCCUGCGCCUGAGAGUUCAGGACCUCUUGCGAAAUGAAGAGCAAGAUGAUUUUGACUCAUCAUCACCUUGACUGGGAUCAUGGACGACCCCGGGAGCCCCAGCGUAGCCACUAGACUGCAGAAACAUGACUUUCUUGUAUUACAAUCUCAAUAUUUGGAAGAUGUCUGAGCGAGAGACGUAUUCCUUUUAAACUUUUUACAAACAAAAAUGUCAACUAUAUCACUGAGGCGUUUUCACUGAUAACAAGGAGCAUGGCUGCGUAAUGGACAGUCCACAUGGUGGCCUGUUAUCUAGAGGAGUUUCUCCCUGGCAGGAAUGAAAGAAAACCACCCUACCUAGUGAGUCCUGGGCAUCCCUCUGGCCUCACGUGUGACCUCCUUCAAUAUCAUAGACUUUCGGGAGACUGUCCCACUCGCUGUGGCCCCUGAGACCCUGUCUCUGUCUUGUGACCCUGCCCCUCCAACCUGCUGGCCAUGACUCAUUGGUCCAGGAAUUCUACCUGAUCCAAAAGGGCCAAUCCGAUCCUUUGUCUGCAGAAUGUGGAUGGCAUGUCAGCUGGCUCCAGCUGGUCCCUGUCCUGGGGACAGGUAAACUUGUUGACUGCAAAGCAGCUGCUGUUUGCACAAAAGGAAAGAAGGAAGCUGUGGACAGGGGAAGAGAAGAAUGAAGUGGAGAUGAAGACGCAGGGAGCAGGAGGGAGCUGCGGGCGCUCCCGCUGAUGGCCACCAUGGCUGCUCCUCCCCCACACCCAUCCUUAGCACUCCCGCUUUCCUUGCAGUUACCCUGAGAAGCUGCUGUCGCUUGUAGUCCCAUAGCCUUAUUUAAGGCACUUAAACUGGAAGAUGUCAAAGGAAACGGAGUACCACAAAACUCUUGAAGGUGUUGGUUUCAUUGUCCUUGUUGAAAAUGACAGACCCCAGAGCCACAGAGCUACUUGUGUCCCGGGAGUGUCCUCAGUGGAAGCAUGAGGUCACCUGUCUCUCUGUCCUGAAGAUAUUUCCCAUAGUAGAGAUGGCCUCCCCCCCAAGAAAAUAGCUUGGAAAAGGACUUUAUUAAACUUGGAUCUGUGCAGUGGUGUGCUGGCGAAGGUCUGACUGCUGGCUCUUCAGAAAUCCCAAGGAAUACGUGAUAUAUGUACAUAUGUUUAUUAUAAAUUUUACUGAUAUAAAGGACGUGUAGCCCAAAUUUUACUGAUAACAACACAAUGUACGAACUCUCGAUGGUAAGUCCCAGGCGGUCAAUUGAUUCUCACAGAAUGCUUCUGUUAAUUUUUGAUAAACUCUUGUAACUGUAGUUAACCUAUGGUUGCAAUUCAACCAAAAUUUGAAAUGGAGUUGCAUUCCAGUCUAUUAACUCUUUUCCC